GCCGGGAUGGCGGAACUGGUCUACGCGCGACACUUAAGAUGUCGUGACCGCAAGGUCAUGUGGGUUCGACUCCCACUCCCGGCA
rnacentral:tRNA from 1 species